rnacentral:rRNA from 1 species
GGAUCCAGACUUUGAUCCUGGCUCAGGAUGAACGCUAGCUACAGGCUUAACACAUGCAAGUCGAGGGGCAGCAUGACGAUAGCUUGCUAUUGUUGAUGGCGACCGGCGCACGGGUGAGUAACGCGUAUCCAACCUGCCCUUGUCCAUCGGAUAACCCGUCGAAAGGCGGCCUAACACGAUAUGCAGUUCUCAGCAGGCAUCUAACGAGAACGAAAUGUGAAGGAGAAGGAUGGGGAUGCGUCUGAUUAGCUUGUUGGUGAGGUAACGGCCCACCAAGGCGACGAUCAGUAGGGGUUCUGAGAGGAAGGUCCCCCACAUUGGAACUGAGACACGGUCCAAACUCCUACGGGAGGCAGCAGUGAGGAAUAUUGGUCAAUGGGCGAGAGCCUGAACCAGCCAAGUAGCGUGCAGGAAGACGGCCCUAUGGGUUGUAAACUGCUUUUAUGUGGGGAUAAAGUGAGCCACGUGUGGCUUAUUGCAGGUACCGCAUGAAUAAGGACCGGCUAAUUCCGUGCCAGCAGCCGCGGUAAUACGGAAGGUCCGGGCGUUAUCCGGAUUUAUUGGGUUUAAAGGGAGCGUAGGCCGUCUGAUAAGCGUGUUGUGAAAUGUCGGGGCUCAACCUGGGCAUUGCAGCGCGAACUGUCAGACUUGAGUGCGCGGGAAGUAGGCGGAAUUCGUCGUGUAGCGGUGAAAUGCUUAGAUAUGACGAAGAACUCCGAUUGCGAAGGCAGCCUGCUGUAGCGCAACUGACGCUGAAGCUCGAAAGCGUGGGUAUCGAACAGGAUUAGAUACCCUGGUAGUCCACGCAGUAAACGAUGGAUGCUCGCUGUUUGCGUCUGACGUAAGCGGCCAAGCGAAAGCGUUAAGCAUCCCACCUGGGGAGUACGCCGGCAACGGUGCAACUCAAAUGAAUUGACGG